UACAGAGGGUGCAAGCGUUGUUCGGAAUUAUUGGGCGUAAAGCGCGUGUAGGCGGCGGGGCAAGUCUGAUGUGAAAUCCCGGGGCUCAACCCCGGAACUGCAUUGGAUACUGCCUUGCUUGAGUACUGGAGAGGAGACUGGAAUUUACGGUGUAGCAGUGAAAUGCGUAGAGAUCGGGAGGAACACCAGAGGCGAAGGCGGCGACCUGGACAGGCACUGACACUCAACUACGAAAGCGUGGGGAGCAAACAGG
rnacentral:rRNA from 1 species